rnacentral:rRNA from 1 species
GAUGAACGCUGGCGUCGUGCCUAAUACAUGCAAGUCGAGCGAACAGACGAGGAGCUUGCUCCUCUGACGUUAGCGGCGGACGGGUGAGUAACACGUGGAUAACCUACCUAUAAGACUGGGAUAACUUCGGGAAACCGGAGCUAAUACCGGAUAAUAUAUUGAACCGCAUGGUUCAAUAGUGAAAGACGGUUUUGCUGUCACUUAUAGAUGGAUCCGCGCCGCAUUAGCUAGUUGGUAAGGUAACGGCUUACCAAGGCAACGAUGGGUAGCCGACCCGAGGGGGUGAUCGGCCACACUGGAACUGAGACACGGUCCAGACUCCUGCGAGAGGCAGCAGUAGGGAAUCUUCCGCAAUGGGCGAAAGCCUGACGGAGCAACGCCGCGUGAGUGAUGAAGGUCUUCGGAUCGUAAAACUCUGUUAUUAGGGAAGAACAAAUGUGUAAGUAACUAUGCACGUCUUGACGGUACCUGGUCAGAAAGCCACGGCUAACUACGUG